rnacentral:ncRNA from 2 species
GUAAUAAAAGGGAAUGGGGUACUCCCUAAAUGACUUUAGUCGUUUGAACCGCUUAGAGUUGAUAAGCUGAUGACUUCUGCCGUGUA